rnacentral:lncRNA from 1 species
UAUCCCCAAAUGACUACUGUAAAAAUCCUUCUCCAAGAAAUAUUUCAUUUUCAAUGGUUUUCAAGCUAGCUAAGUUAGGUGGUGAGACUUGACUAAAUUUGUCCUUGGUGUCAAGAUUUGUGAAAUUUCAGAAUCUUGGUUUUUGAGAUUUGAUUGUUGGAAUGCACUCUUUAUAUCACCAAUUGGCUACUACAAAAAUCUCGUGCAAGAAAUUUUUCAUUUUGGUUG